rnacentral:rRNA from 1 species
UACGAAGGGGGCUAGCGUUGUUCGGAUUUACUGGGCGUAAAGCGCACGUAGGCGGAUUGGUCAGUUAGGGGUGAAAUCCCAGAGCUCAACUCUGGAACUGCCUUUAAUACUGCCAGUCUCGAGUCCAGAAGAGGUAAGUGGAACUCCUAGUGUAGAGGUGGAAUUCGUAGAUAUUAGGAAGAACACCAGUGGCGAAGGCGGCUUACUGGUCCGGUACUGACGCUGAGGUGCGAAAGCGUGGGGAGCAAACAGGAUUAGAAACCCUAGUAGU